GUCCACGCCGUAAACGAUGGAUACUAGCUGUUCGGACUUCGGUCUGAGUGGCUAAGCGAAAGUGAUAAGUAUCCCACCUGGGGAGUACGUUCGCAAGAAUGAAACUCAAAGGAAUUGACGGGGGCCCGCACAAGCGGUGGAGCAUGUGGUUUAAUUCGAUGAUACGCGAGGAACCUUACCAGGGCUUAAAUGUAGUCUGACAGGACUGGAAACAGUUUUUUCUUCGGACAGAUUACAAGGUGCUGCAUGGUUGUCGU
rnacentral:rRNA from 1 species